GUAGGAGUCUGAUUGAUAGAGAAGUCCAUCUGGGAUUCGCCUGAUGUGGAAGCUCAUCUGAAGAUUAUCUAUCAGAGAAGUCUGAUUUCAUGAAGAAUCUGGUAGAGGGUUGGCUAACGGUGGACUUCGGAUGGCAUCGGAGAGGUUCGACAGACAUCGGAGGAUAUCAAUCAUUAUAGAAAUCCAGCUGUCGGAGUCCGUCCAUCGUAGAAGCUCGUCCGAUAUCCAUCCACU
rnacentral:lncRNA from 1 species